AUCAAUCCUUUCGUAGACAUGUGAUAAAAUUGGAACGAUACAAAGAACAUUAGCAUGGCCCUUGUGUAAGGAUAACACACACAAAUCGAGAAAUGGUUAUUACGUAU
rnacentral:snRNA from 1 species